rnacentral:rRNA from 1 species
AACGAACGCUGGCGGCAGGCUUAACACAUGCAAGUCGAGCGCCCCGCAAGGGGAGCGGCAGACGGGUGAGUAACGCGUGGGAACGUACCCUUUGCUACGGAAUAGCUCUGGGAAACUGGAAUUAAUACCGUAUGUGCCCUACGGGGGAAAGAUUUAUCGGCAAAGGAUCGGCCCGCGUUGGAUUAGCUAGUUGGUGGGGUAAUGGCCUACCAAGGCGACGAUCCAUAGCUGGUCUGAGAGGAUGAUCAGCCACAUUGGGACUGAGACACGGCCCAAACUCCUACGGGAGGCAGCAGUGGGGAAUAUUGGACAAUGGGCGCAAGCCUGAUCCAGCCAUGCCGCGUGAGUGAUGAAGGCCUUAGGGUUGUAAAGCUCUUUCACCGGAGAAGAUAAUGACGGUAUCCGGAGAAGAAGCCCCGGCUAACUUCGUGCCAGCCGCCGCUGUAAUAC